CAUGCCUUUUAUGAGGGCCCAGACAUUAGCUUCUGUUGUAAGUUCCAUGUGGGAAGAUCACUGAAUUGUACCAAUAUAGCUGAUGGGAAUUUUUGGAUGAUCACUGUGUUGAGCACAUCAUGUUCCACCUGGACAAAAUACAAGAUGAAUGCAGAAGGGAUUUAAGGGAGCACAAAGCCCUAGCCAGAAGCCAAGCAGAUGCCAGGACUGAUUUCUUGAACUUCUCAGCUUCCAAAACUUACUGUAACUUACAUGAGAACUUUGAAGAUCUCCAAGAAACUUUUGAAAGGAACCCUAUUCAAGGAGAACCAAAUCUCUCCACAUAAAGACAAUUCUUCCCAUGAAGAGUUUCUGAGUCAUCAACAUAGUACAAAGACAGUCGUAGAAGGUAAGUAUGAAUAAAUUGUGAUUAAUUCUAGCCAGUAAAAAAUAUUACACAUCAUGGAAAAGAAUAGUGAACUGCAAUAAUGUUGUCAUUUUUUAUUUAUAAUAUCCAGGGGGUUAGAAUUGAUUAAAAAUCAUGUGCAUAUGUAAUAAAAAGUGAAUUUCCCCAGGAAUUUGGCAUCUACCAAAAAA